CAUUGGCUUACGGCAGUCGUAGCGGUGAGGUGAUCGUAACUCCCACACUUUGUCAUUGGCUUACGGUAGUCGUAGCGCUGAGGCGAUCGUAACUCGCAUACUUUAACAUGGACUUAAG